GCUCGGUGGAGUCAAGCAUUGCAUUUCUCAUAGCGAGAGGUUAUUUAUUACCCAGGGAGAGAACAGACUUUCCUUUGCUCCUUUGCAUACGAUCAAGAGUCCUUUCAGUAGAAUUAAGCCUAAAAGGAGAAGCAAUGCCUGGUUUCCAGCAGGAGGAAGAGGAGGUGGAGCCCCCCGCGGUGGUGUGCGGACUCUGCAAGGUUCUCCUGUCCUCAGUCUUAAUUCACUAGGGGUUAAGACUCAGUUUCCAAGACAGCCUCUGCUCAGCUGAGACCUUGUACCAAUCCUCAUCAUUAACUUAACAGAAACACCCAUUUUGCUGGGGGACGGAGAACUACUUCUUCCUAGUCCCUUUCUUUGUGAUUAUGAAGGGGCUACAAACUCUGUAACUCUAAGGCUUUGCCGGCAAUAUGAAGAGGUCUCAGAAGUGUCAUUCCAAGAAAAUGUCCUUCAGGUGCUUUAGUAUGGGCGGAGGGAAGAUGGAGUGGAGCUGGGAACAUGGUAUCCUUUCAAGACCGCAUGCUAUGCUGUGCUGCGGGAAGGCCCUGGGCAACAGAGGAAGGCCCUGAAUUCUUCCUAAAGUCUUUCUGCAGGGCUAUGUGGAGGCAAAACACUUUGGUAAUUGUUGGAGUCUAAAUGCGAACUCCUAAACACAAGUGACUUUGUAUACAGUGGUAAAAUAAAUUGUUUUGAAGCACACAAGCACCUUGAAAGUCAAUGGACUGUUUUAUUUUCCUGCA
ensembl:lincRNA